rnacentral:misc_RNA from 1 species
GGAUCCUCCUCAUGUAUCAAAGUCUUAAAAGGCUUUUUUGUACUAUAAAGGAGCAAAUGAACCCACCAAUUUCUUAACCAAUCUUCCCCUUAAUUUUCCACUCAACAAUUGCUUUUCUAAGUUCCUCUCUCAUUUCUCAACCCCAAAAGGCAUGGAUUUCUUCCACACCCAAAGGCAAAGCCAACAAAAACGCCAACCAAAGCAUAGCGACAAAAGGAGGCUAACAGAAGACCAAGUGAGGCUUCUAGAGAGAACAUUCACCACCAACAAGAAGCUUGAGCCUGAGCUCAAGCUCCAACUAGCAAGCCAACUAGGUGUGCCUCCAAGACAAGUUGCCAUUUGGUACCAAAACAAGAGAGCAAGAUGGAAGACACAGAGCUUGGAGCUUGACUACAAUACACUCCAAGUGAAGCUAGAAAACGCAUUGGCUGACAAAAGGAGAUUAGAGAAAGAAGUGAUUCAGCUUAGAGACGAGCUAAGAAAGGCUCAAGAAAUGGUGUUUGCUCUCAGCCAAGGGAUGGUUCCUUCUCAUCCUCAUCAUCUUCAUCCUGCUCUUCCGCUUCCUCCUCCUCUUAUUGUUUCUUGCAACUCUUCUUGUGAUGAAGGAGGUAGCUCUAGCUUGCAUGAAGAAGUGAAUGGUGAGUUUUUGCAACUUGAUGAGCUCUAUGCUUGUUUGAUUGGCUCUGGUGGUGGUGGAUCAGCGUGGGAUUAGUGGGUUCUUGGCCAAAUUAAAAUAUUGUUCUUUUUUGUCCUAGAAAAACAAGUUCUUGGGGCCAUGGUUGUGUACUGCUUGGAAUUGAAUUAAGAAGUCUCUUGAGAUUUUGGCUGGAUAAUUGAGUAGGUGGUGUAUUGAUAUUGAGUAGAAUGAAUUAAUGUUAAUGACCCUUGUGAAUUAAUGUUAAUUUUCACAGGUACUUACUAUUUACAACAGAUUUUGGAGCCCGGGGGCUCAAUUGUAACAUCAAUUCACUAGUCUACCCCUUACAUGUUGAAUAUGUAAUUAGACUGACAGUUAGUAGUUAAAUGCUUUUUCUUUUAUUGUACGGAAAGUUAAAAUUUAAAUCUUAAAUUUUUUUUUAUGUCAGAAAUUUUUAAAUAUAAUAAAAA